rnacentral:lncRNA from 1 species
GCAUGCGCCUGGCCGCCCAGUGAGAGUCAGCUAACAGGAAAAUCUCCAGAAGGAAGAGGACACUAGUAUGUCAGAGAAAACACAAGAUGUGACGGCUUGGGAGAGGUGGACUCGAGGAAAAUGAGAGGAAUGUGGGCGGCCUGUGGGAUGAGGGGGUGAGGUAUUUAAGGGUGAGGUUAGAAGUAGUGAUGUGAGAUCAUACGUGAUGUGAGAACCCAUUUUGUAACGGUAACAGUGAAGCUAAGCAGACUGAUCCCACGGCCUCCAGUUACCUUGCAUUUACAUCUGCUUCCUUCUGGGUAAUGUGAUCUCUAUCGCUGUAAUUUAAUUGAGCAAUGGCCAUUUCUUGCAUUGAGAAAGUGAUUUAUCUCGGAUUGAUCCAAAGAUUGCUUGCAUAUUGGGAAGGAUUAAUUUGUCCAGAAAGAUAUUACAUUUUGAUAUGUUGUCAUUGAAUCUCUUGGAGAGUGUCACAUGAACUGCCAAGCUUUGGAAUCUUUGUUGCAUAUUGCAGAGCCUAUCAACUUUGCCCACCAGUGUUUCCUAAGCAUGUACAAGAGGCCAUGACAUGAGAUAGGAGUUCAAGAAGCUCCAGUUGUUUUUACUGCUACAGCCAAACCUGAAGCUCACUGAGAUAGUCUAGCUGGAAACUUUGCCCAAAGGAUUCCUCCACCACUGCCUCCUAUGUGCUGGGCUUGGUUUAUAAGCUGGCCUCCAU